AAAAUAGAAAAUCGCAGCUGGUGAUCUCAGCUUCACACACACAACUGUGAAGGAUCAAGCCCAGGAACAUAGCCAUUAGGUGAAACACCUCAUUAGGGCUUCCAUAGCCAAAGCUUAGCACGCCAGGCCCUGGCUGGAAGUCGCAGGGUAGAGUGGUCCAUGAAAAACGAAGAGGAAACGGGGAAAACAAACUCUUUGGAGCCAAAUUUGUCAGGGUUCGGCUUUGAUGACGGCGAGGUGGGCUACGGACGCUUUCAUUUAGGAGGCUGAUGAGGACGUUCCAAGCACAACAACCCCCCUCGAGGCAGAUGCUGUGGGUCUGGAUGCAGCUGUAACCUAAUUAUCACGCAUUCUUGGUAUAUUUCAGUCGGAGUGGCAAUGACCACAGGCAAGUUCAAGUGCUUCUGCACAUCUUAGGAAUAACUGAGCCUUUCCAGGCAGCACUUCAGAAGACUGUCUUCUCUUUUGAUGGCACCUCUUACUCCCUCAACCCUAAAGUGUUGUGAAGUCAAGUGCACGGAAGGGCCUGUUUUAUUUUCUGGUUUUAGGGCCACAGUCUCUUCUUUAUACAAGCAUCGCCUAAUGGAGCAAGUGCUUUCCUCCAAUGAGCACCGCAGAUCGCCUCCACCAUUCACCAGGUGUGCAUGAAAGUGGCCACAGGCAAGAAGCUCCCUGAAGCAAAGCGACCGAGAACAUUAACUGAGGAGUCAGCAGGACCUGGCUUCAAAUCCCAGGACUGCCAUUCCCCAGAGACAUGACCUUGGAUCAGAUGUUCACCCUCCCUGGGUCUCAGUUUCCUCACCUGAAUAUAAGCAGGUGACUCCUUUCUAGGGCUCCCGUAGGAUAAUGAGUGCGAUAUGAUUUCCUCCUGGGUAUUAUUAGCACAGGCAAAUUAGCAAAAAGGCAUCAGAGUCCACAACCUUCCAUCAGAACGGUUUCCCCACUUAGAAAUUCCCGUGCAGUAGUUUCUCCUGGUAUUUGCUAAACCACGGCCAUUCUUGUAACACCUUUGCAAGUUUCACACACUGCAGAGCAGCUGUGUUAACUUAGGAUUUUCCUUUAAUUGAGCUACCCUUCCUGCACAUUUUUUUUUUAAAACAAACACAGUUCAGAAAGAAACUUGUCCUCACAACUGCAGAUGGCAAACCUGUUCCACUCACCAUAGCAGAAAGUUAAACACGAAGAUGAGCAUGUAUGUUAGUUUCUUGUGGAUGCUGUAACAGAUUACCACAAAUUCAGUGGCUUGAAACAACACAAGUUUAUCCUCUUACAGAGUUCUAGACAUUAGAAAUCUAAAAUCAAGGUGUUUCAGACUUCCCUGGUAGCCCAGUGGAUAGGAAUCUGCCUGCCAAAGCAGUGGACAGGGGUUCGAUCCCUGGUCCGGGAAGAUUUCACGUGCCAUGGAGCAAUUAAGCCUGUGUGCCACAACUGCUGAGCCCCUGUGCUGCUGCUCCUGAAGCUUAGAGCCUGUGCUCUGCAACAAUGACACCCAUGCAUCACAACCAAAGAGUAGCCCCCACUCUGUAUGAUUAGAGAAAAGCCCGUGCAGCACCGAAGACCCAGUGCGGCCAGAAAUAAAUAACAUAAAUAAAAAAAUUAAGUCAAGGUGUUCCUUUGGGAGCUUUCAAAGGCGAAUCAGUUUCCUUGCCUUUUUCAGCUUCCAGAGGCCAGUGCAUUCCUUGGCAUCGGCUCCUUCGCCACAGCUAGUUCCUUCUAUCGACUCUCACCUCCUGCCUCCCUCUUCUGAGGACUCUGUGAUUACAUUAAUCAUACCUGUUAAGUCUCUUUGGCCAUACAAGAACUCCUAAAGCCCUUGGAAUUUUUAAUAGCCGAGAUAUGGAAGCAGCCUAAGUGCCCAUCAGCAGUUGAGUGGAUAAAGACGAUAUGGUGUGUAUAUACAACCGAAUGUUACCCAGCCAGGAAAAAGAAGGAAAUCUUGCCAUUCUGACAACACGGAUGGACCUGGAGGAUAUUUUGCUCAGUGAAAUAAGCUGGACUGAGAAAGACAAAUACUGUUUGUUUUCACUUGUAUGUCGAAUCAAAACACCAAAACAAACCAACGUAAAAUGAAAACAGACUCAUAGAUACAGAGAACAAACAAGUGGUUGCCUGAGGAGAGAGGGGUGGGCAGAAUAGGUGAAGAGGAUUGAGAGGUACACGCUACCAGCUGUAAAACAGGGAUCAAAGGACGGCAGCUUCCAGGGGCAGUCUCUUUCACCCUCAUCACAGGGGUCUCAGGUGAAACGCCAGUCAGUCCUUCAACAUGAAGAGGGGGCAGCCCACGGUCUUUCCUCCAAGAUGCUCCUAUGCCGACAUCCUACAGGUUAAGCCACUUCCGGUCUCUAAGUGGACCCAGCCGCAGGUGUAAGCCUUCCUGGACUUCCCGCUCCAAAGGCAUCUCUGAGUACUCCCAGUGGGAAGCAUGUCUAAAGAGGCAUCUGGAGAUUUCCAAACUCUUCUCUUACCCCGAAGCUUCUUAGGUGAUGGAAUUAGUUAACCCUACUUCAAGCUCCUCACAAGGCAUUUUCUUAAGGAAACUUGUAUAACCAGCAGAGGUAGAUGUUCAUGAGUUCGGGAUGUGAUCUUGCUAAUUACUUGUUA